UGGGGAAUUUUGGACAAUGGGCGAAAGCCUGAUCCAGCAAUGCCGCGUGUGUGAAGAAGGCCUUCGGGUUGUAAAGCACUUUUGUCCGGAAAGAAAUCCUUGGCUCUAAUACAGUCGGGGGAUGACGGUACCGGAAGAAUAAGCACCGGCUAACUACGUGCCAGCAGCCGCGGUAAUACGUAGGGUGCAAGCGUUAAUCGGAAUUACUGGGCGUAAAGCGUGCGCAGGCGGUUUGCUAAGACCGAUGUGAAAUCCCCGGGCUCAACCUGGGAACUGCAUUGGUGACUGGCAGGCUAGAGUAUGGCAGAGGGGGGUAGAAUUCCACGUGUAGCAGUGAAAUGCGUAGAGAUGUGGAGGAAUACCGAUGGCGAAGGCAGCCCCCUGGGCCAAAUACUGACGCUCAUGCACGAAAGCGUGGGGAGCAAACAGGAUUAGAUACCCUGGUAGUCCACGCCCUAAACGAUGUCAACUAGUUGUUGGGGAUUCAUUUCCUUAGUAACGUAGCUAACGCGUGAAGUUGACCGCCUGGGGAGUACGGUCGCAAGAUUAAAACUCAAAGAAAUUGACGGGGU
rnacentral:rRNA from 1 species